ACGAAGGGUGCAAGCGUUAAUCGGAAUUACUGGGCGUAAAGGGUGCGUAGGCGGUUCGUUAAGUCUGUCGUGAAAUCCCCGGGCUCAACCUGGGAACUGCAUUUGUGACUGCAUGGCUAGAGUACGGUAGAGGGGGAUGGAAUUCCGCGUGUAGCAGUGAAAUGCGUAGAUAUGCGGAGGAACACCGAUGGCGAAGGCAAUCCCCUGGACCUGUACUGACGCUCAUGCACGAAAGCGUGGGGAGCAAACGGGA
rnacentral:rRNA from 1 species